rnacentral:tRNA from 1 species
AAUAAUCAAUUUAAUAUUAUAAAAUAAUAAGUUCAAUUUCGGUUUGAAAAAUUCAUAAUUUGAUUAAAUAAUAU